AAUGGGAUGUCUGAUAAAGGUAAUAAAUUGUAAAUUUAUUUAUGGUGUUAAAUCCUCUCAUUA
rnacentral:tRNA from 1 species